rnacentral:snoRNA from 1 species
GCGCGUCUGCUGCUGCAGCUGCUGCUGCAGCAGGCGCAGCCGCAGCAGCGCCAGCGCGUCUGCUGCUGCAGCUGCUGCUGCAGCUGCUGCUGCAGCAGGCGCAGCAGCAGCAGCGACAGCA